AGUGAACGCUGGCGGCAGGCCUAACACAUGCAAGUCGAGCGGCAGCGGGUCCCCGCGAGGGAGUNCCGGCGAGCGGCGGACGGGUGAGGAACACAUCGGAAUCUGCCUGGUUGUGGGGAGUAACGUAGGGAACUUACGCUAAUACCGCAUGAGACCCUGAGUCGACGGACUGGGGUGAAAGUGAGGACCUCGGCCGUCACGCGACCAGAUGAGCCGAUGUCGGAGUUAGCUAGUUGGCGGGGUAACGGCCCGCCAAGGCGACGAUCCGUAGCUGGUCUGAGAGGAUGAUCAGCCACACUGGGACUGAGACACGGCCCAGACUCCUACGGGAGGCAGCAGUGGGAAUCUUGGACAAUGGGCGCAAGCC
rnacentral:rRNA from 1 species